GCCUUUGUGGUGUAGUGAUCAGCACGCUCGACACAUAAUCGAGAGGUCUGUAGUUCGAUUCCCGGGGAAGGCU
rnacentral:tRNA from 1 species